UACGUAGGAUGCAAGCGUUGUCCGGAUUUACUGGGCGUAAAGCGUGCGCAGGCGGUUCGUUGUGUCGGUGGUGAAAUCCCCGGGCUUAACCUGGGAAUGGCCAUGGAAACUGGCGAACUGGAGUGCGGCAGAGGGGGGUGGAAUUCCGCGUGUAGCAGUGAAAUGCGUAGAGAUGCGGAGGAACACCGAUGGCGAAGGCAGCCCCCUGGGCUAGCACUGACGCUCAGGCACGAAAGCGUGGGGAGCAAACAGG
rnacentral:rRNA from 1 species